CCUCUCUGGUACAUUGAUCCCCUCUCUCUGUCUCUUACAGGCGCCCUGCUGAUCAGACUCCUGCACAGCCUUCGAGAGGAAUGGAGCUCUCCAGACUUGGACAACAGCCUGGUAACUGCACCACAUCCAACAUAGAGACCGUAUACGCAGAAGUAAUGCCGUGUCAACAGAACCAAGAUGUGCAUGUCACUGACACCCCCUCAGCAUCCAAUGGUGAUGAAAUCCUAUACUCUAUGAUUGACUUAAAGAAGACAAAGCCAGGUAUUUCUGUAUUGUCUCCUCUCUUUCAGGGUCAUAUUAUAACACAAAGCCAGGUAUUUCUGUAUUGAGUCUCCUCUCUUUCAGGGUCAUAUUAUAACACAAAGCCAGGUAUUUCUGUAUUGAGUCUCCUCUCUUUCAGGGCUCAUAUCAUAAUGUGAUAUUUUAUUAGCAGGUCAGAAAACAAAACAUGUAUUGGGUUGUCCAGCGCAUAACAUAGCAGUUUCAUAAUGAUUGUUCUACCUGCUAAAGCAAUUAUUUGCCAUUAAAUUGAACCUGUACAUUACCGUGGACGGGUGGGGGGGUAAUUCACUGACACACGGGAGACAGACGGAUGUACUUGAAACACCGCACAGGUGCCCUUUUUUAUUUAU